AUUGAACGCUGGCGCCAUGCCUUACACAUGCAAGUCGAACGGCAGCGGGGGAGAAGCUUGCUUUUCCUGCCGGCGAGUGGCGAACGGGUGAGUAAUACAUCGGAACGUGCCCUGUAGUGGGGGAUAACUAGUCGAAAGAUUAGCUAAUACCGCAUACGACCUGAGGGUGAAAGUGGGGGACCGCAAGGCCUCAUGCUAUAGGAGCGGCCGAUGUCUGAUUAGCUAGUUGGUGGGGUAAAGGCCUACCAAGGCGACGAUCAGUAGCUGGUCUGAGAGGACGGUCAGCCACACUGGGACUGAGACACGGCCCAGACUCCUACGGGAGGCAGCAGUGGGGAAUUUUGGACAAUGGGCGAAAGCCUGAUCCAGCAAUGCCGCGUGUGUGAAGAAGGCCUUCGGGUUGUAAAGCACUUUUGUCCGGAAAGAAAUGGCUCUGGUUAAUACCUGGGGUCGAUGACGGUACCGGAAGAAUAAGGACCGGCUAACUACGUGCCAGCAGCCGCAGUAA
rnacentral:rRNA from 1 species